GCCAGUGUGGCGUAGUGGUUUGAGUGUUGGACUACAACUCUAGAGUCCAGGGUUUGAUUCCCAGCUCGGCCA
rnacentral:tRNA from 1 species